rnacentral:rRNA from 1 species
UGGGGAAUAUUGCACAAUGGGCGAAAGCCUGAUGCAGCAACGCCGCGUGAGGGACGACGGCCUUCGGGUUGUAAACCUCUUUUAGCAAGGAAGAAGCGAAAGUGACGGUACUUGCAGAAAAAGCGCCGGCUAACUACGUGCCAGCAGCCGCGGUAAUACGUAGGGCGCAAGCGUUAUCCGGAAUUAUUGGGCGUAAAGAGCUCGUAGGCGGUUUGUCGCGUCUGCUGUGAAAACCCGAGGCUCAACCUCGGGCCUGCAGUGGGUACGGGCAGACUAGAGUGCGGUAGGGGAGAUUGGAACUCCUGGUGUAGCGGUGGAAUGCGCAGAUAUCAGGAAGAACACCGAUGGCGAAGGCAGAUCUCUGGGCCGUAACUGACGCUGAGGAGCGAAACGGGUGGGGAGCAAACAGGCUUAGAUACCCUGGUAGUCACCCCGUAAACGUUGGGAACUAGUUGUGGGGUCCAUUCCACGGAUUCCGUGACGCAGCUAACGCAUUAAGUUCCCCGCCUGGGGAGUACGGCCGCAAGGCUAAAACUGCAAAUGAAUUGACGGGGUCAUAGCUGUUUCCU